rnacentral:rRNA from 1 species
CCUGGCGGCCAUAGCGCGGUGGACCCCCCUGAACCCAUGCCGAACUCAGAAGUGAAACGCCGUAGCGCCGAUGGUAGUGUGGGGUCUCCCCAUGCGAGAGUAGGACACUGCCAGGC